CUCACCGUCUUACAACAAUUCGAGGGGCUGAUACUAUAGCAGUAAUUAAAAAUGGGGUGGUUGCUGAAAAGGGAACACAUGAUGUGUUGAUGAAGAUUACUGAUGGUGUUUAUGCUUCAUUAGUAACUCUUCAUUCAAGUGCAUCAUAAAGAUAUUUCUAUUUUGUACUUCCAACCUAACCAUUCAAUAAUUUUGCUUGUCCGUUCAAAGGGUGAGGAUUUAUUCUUCUCUCCUGUUCAUACUUCUAUCUCAUUCACGUUUUGCAGCUCUCUUUUUCUUCUUCUUUAUUGUUGCUUUUGUAAAUUUUCUUUAUUUAGUUCUUGUUCGCGAGUUUUGUUACUUUUCCGACUCUAAAUAUAAACAUUCUGAUUGUGUGUUAGGAUCUAUGAAGACUGUAGUAUAUAUGGAUGAUCCUUAAAACAGCAAUAUGAUGUGUUCAUAAAAAACCUCUUCUAUGUUGGAAGAAUCAAAGUUAUAUCUAGGGCAAAACGCAGAGACCAAGAAGACAGAAAGGGUUUGUUUGAGGCAAAUUGCAAGCUUAAAUGAUUUUAGGAAUUGGUAGAACUAGUUUUGUUAUUUCUGUUGAGUAAUCUAUCAUUUUUUUUUUUACAGCAAACUUCUCAUUCAAUCAAUCAUUACAGAUUCAUUACAAAUGAUAGAAGAAAUUGGUAUUGAUUUAUUCAUUUUUAACUUCUUAGAGGUAGUAGUAGUAAAACUAGAAUCUAAUUGUAAAACGAUAUUGAUAUUGAUUUAUUCAUUUUAGUUUUAAGAAAAUUUGAUCCAAACUUGAGUGAGUCUUUCAUUUAUUUGUUUGUUUAUUUAUUGGAGUGUGGCAGUGGGUGUGACCCUAGCAUUACUCCAAAUAUGACAUCAAAUUUGGAAUUGCAUAGAUUUUUAAUUUUUGCUGAGGUUUCAACUCCUAAAUUAUUUAAGCUAGAGAUCGAUGAAGACAAAUCUAGAAAUGGAAAAUAAAACUGAAUAGAUUUAUUACCUAUUUACCAAUUCCGCCCAUUCCCAAAGUUAUUCUAGAAAUGUGUUGGUGAGCCUCCUACCGGAGCUUGAACCGGUGUUGUGAUCUCGGUCUCGUCUGGAGGUUCUUUCAUACUUGAGAAGAAAGAGUAAGAUUUAACAGGGUGAGCGGGAUAGAAAUGGGAGAUGAAGUUGAACUAGAGAGAGAGGGAUUGAAAGAUAUGUGAGAUUAAGAAAUAAAGAAAAAAAAUAUGUUUGCGAGGAAAGGAAUGAGUUAAGGUGUUGAACAAUAGGGAAUAAUAAUAUAUGUAUUUGUAGGCAGAGUGUUAUUCUUGAGAGUGAAAGACAAAGAAGAAUAGAAGAUAGAUCUAUA
rnacentral:lncRNA from 1 species